AUGGAUGGAUGCAUGGAUGGAUGGAUGGCUGGCUGGCUGGAUGGAUGGAUGCAUGGUUGGCUGGAUGGAUGGAUGGAGGCCCUCAUCACUGUGCGGGUUGUUUUAGUUGCUUCAUGCCCCCUCCUCCCCCCCUCAACACACACAUGCACUCCCCUUUAACCCCUCCGCUCCGUACAGUACCGUCACCCCUCGUGUGGAAAAAACGCAAAAGCAGCAGUCUAAGAAAAACAGGGAGGGCGAUCGAGGCCGCGGAGAGAAAGAGAGAGCUCGCUCGCUGUGAAAACACUCGACCUGCCGAUGAAUGAGACUUCCCCCGGCGGACUGAUCCCGUGUUUGGUCUGACGGAGACAGAGCGGAUGAAUGGGUGAGUGUGAGAAAAAGAGAGAGAGAGAGAGAGAGAGAGAGAGAGAGAGGUGGGAGGGGCCACAAAAUCCAGGCGAGUCGUGGAUUUUUUUUCUGAUGACGUUUAUUUGUUGUUUCUGUAGUUUUCUCUCGUCAGGACAAAGAAACGUACGUACGUGUGAACGCCGAUCGAUACCCGGACGUUUGCUCGCGAGCCGCGAUGGCAGGCGGGAGGUCAAAGGUCACCAGAGAGUUAAAGAUCUGCACACACGGGAGGAGGGUCUUUGUGUGGGAGUAAAUGGAAGAGCUGAAUUUAAGCUGCUGGAGAUCUUUUAUUAAAACAACCUUCCCUUCCCAGCAUGCAUCACUGAGGAUUCAUCUGUUACACAUAGACGAGGACGAAUGAUGCAUGAAUGAUUUCCCUAAAACGCAUCGGUCACUCAUCAGGCGGCCGAUCUGUAAUCUGUAAUCUGUUCAUGUCUGAAAUGAAAUGAAUGAGUCUGACGUGUUGGUCUCAGUUAGUGAGCGACGGCCUUCGGGAUCCAGUCAGAGGUCCCUGGGGGGGUCGCCGCGGGCCGAGGGUCGGCGGCGUAGGACGACGUGUCGUUUUCUCUCUGUACUCUGGUGUGAAGUUUAAAAAGGAUAUUUGUACACCUCUACUCUCUUCUUCUAUUCCUUCCCUAAUCUCUUUUGUAAUCUCAUUAUCCCCUCGAUGACUCUGGGGACCUUCGUUGAGGCGGGGUCACGACCUCUGCUGAGUGUGUGUGUGUGUGUGUGUGUUUUGGGGGUUAAGCCAGAGGUCAGGAGGUCAUAACUGUGUCACACAGCAGGAACAAAGUACAGUGUCUCAUGUGAAAAAUGUUGACUUUUAAUACUGAAACAGGGAAAUAAAAGGCAGCUUUUGUGGCCUCCCUCCUCCGUUCCUCCUUACUUCCUCCUUUCCUUCUCUCGUAUGUCUCCUUUUUACUUAUUUCCUGCUAGGAAUCCUUCCUCUCCUGUGACUCAGAUAUUCACCUUUUUAUUUUCAAACCUUAAUAACGACAUAAUCCCAAGUUUCACCCCAUGAAUGCACAUAACAUGAGAGCAACAAGUUCUCACACGUCGUGUGAUUCAGUUGUUAUGAAGAAACGUGAUUCAUUCCUUGACUUUUCUUUUUGUUGUUUGACCCCCAACUUGAUGCCGUCCACCUUCCUUCUGUUGUAGGAACAGAAAAUUCCAUCUCUAACAUCCAACGAGUCAGCGUGAUGCGAUUUGCCCGUGAAUGAAUGGAUCAAACUGGUCGGCCUUCCCGUAAUCUUAUUUAUUUUUUAUCACCGGGAGGAAAAGAAGAAGAAUGCUGUUAGUCACUCUGCUAUCGAGUUACGCAGCAGCCUGAACUUCAUCCAAUUCAAACACACACACACACACACACACACACACACACACACACACACACACAAUUCCUCCCAGCCAAUGAGCAGCGAGCGCGGAGCGACACAAACGGUAUUCCAUUCAUUCCAGAGCGCUGAGCGUCCAACGGCUGCUUUGGUGUUUCCUUUUCUCCCUCCCGUCCGUCCCUCCCUCGCCCUCUCUGCUGUGUGUGUGUGUGUGGGGGGGGGGAAGAAAGGGGUGGGGGGUUGGAAUGUGCGGUGGGAUGUGAGUAACUUCCUGUUUUUACUUUGUUAAGUACAUCCCCUGUGGGGUUUCACAUCAUGUGUGUGGGAGAUCGGCGGGGAGAAGGACGGUUGGGAAUGAGAUGCAGCAACAUGUGGCCAAAAGUAAAAAGACACCCCGACAUUCCGGCCUAAUGUGAUGUUUGAAGUUAUCGCGGUGCAUCAAUCUGCCCCCCCGAUGGGUUCAGGUUCCUCACCAGAUGUCCUGGUUCUUGGACUCGUCCAGUCCGACGCGUGUUGUGACUUCAGCCGCGCUUACGUUCUCACGAGGCGCCAUUUUCAACAUGAUCUGAGAAAAAUAUGUUGAUCGACAGUUUGUGUUUGUGUGGUCAUUCAUGUGACACAAUGUCGAAAAGUUUUGUGUGCUGAAGAAUGUUUUUAUACUUGUUUCUUCCAUGUGAUACGGUCGACUUUCUGAGGAUCAUCUGGCCGUGUUUUCUAGAUACAGACGGUGCUGCUGUUAAAGUGUGAAAUACCUGCGUGUGGAUGUUAUAUGUACAUGAGGGCUUUUAUUGUGAAAGGAGAGACCAGAAGGAGAGGAUCGUGUCGGUUGAAAAGAUCAAUAAAGGUUUCCGUCUUGUUGAUGACGCAGCUUAUUCGCCAAAAAACAAUAAAUCAACAGUUUGAAGAAAAAUGUUGCGUGUGAAAUACAAAUACAAAAUAGUAAAAUCACAAUAACAAUUUUGAAUUCCUUGCUCGUGUUCCAUGAACUUUGACCUCUACAGUUUGGGUUAAUUGAGGCAUUUUGCUAAAGGUUGGAUGGGGUCAAAGGUCACCACGCAAGCGAACUGUCCGCAGGGCGGCGGCGACGUGUGUGCAGCACAAACACGCAGCCCACUAAACGCUGAUUAGCAUGUCAAUUAUUCCAACGCCGGUUAGCUAUUAGCGCGCAGAGCUAACGUCUGUGUUUGUUUUACAGAGACAUGUAUGUAAAUACGUCCACUCCGUGUAAACGGCGCGUUAAAUAGGCGGUUAGUGGGCGAGACCACCAGACGGAGGAUCACCAGAAGCUCCUUCAGUACAUCCUCCAGCAGAGACCAGUCCACUGAGGACAGACCCACAUCCUCCAGCAGAGACCAGUCCACUGAGGACAGACCCACAUCCUCCAGCAGAGACCAGUCCACCGAGGACAGACCCGAAUCCUCCAGCAGAGACCAGUCCACCGAGGACAAGACCCACAUCCUCCAGCAGAGACCAGUCCACCGAGGACAGACCCGAAUCCUCCAGCAGAGACCAGUCCACCGAGGACAAGACCCACAUCCUCCAGCAGAGACCAGUCCACCGAGGACAGACCCACAUCCUCCAGCAGAGACCAGUCCACCGAGGACAGACCCACAUCCUCCAGCAGAGACCAGUCCACCGAGGACAGACCCACAUCCUCCAGCAGAGACCAGUCCACCGAGGACAGACCCGAAUCCUCCAGCAGAGACCAGUCCACCGAGGACAGACCCGAAUCCUCCAGCAGAGACCAGUCCACCGAGGACAGACCCACAUCCUCCAGCAGAGACCAGUCCACCGAGGACAGACCCGAAUCCUCCAGCAGAGACCAGUCCACCGAGGACAGACCCGAAUCCUGCAGCAGAGACCAGUCCACCGAGGACAAGACCCACAUCCUCCAGCAGAGACCAGUCCACCGAGGGACAGACCCACAUCCGGGCUCCACCGCAGUUCUCGGACCUGCAGUCGGCGCACCCGGACUCUGCUCCCGGUAGCGUCUCCUCCUCCUCCAGGA
ensembl:lncRNA